GAUGAACGCUGGCGGCGUGCUUAACACAUGCAAGUCGAACGGUGAAGGCGGAGCUUGCUCUGCUGGAUCAGUGGCGAACGGGUGAGUAACACGUGAGCAAUCUGCCCCUGACUCUGGGAUAAGCGCUGGAAACGGCGUCUAAUACUGGAUACGAGCUGCGAAGGCAUCUUCAGCAGCUGGAAAGAAUUUCGGUCAGGGAUGAGCUCGCGGCCUAUCAGCUUGUUGGUGAGGUAAUGGCUCACCAAGGCGUCGACGGGUAGCCGGCCUGAGAGGGUGACGGGCCACACUGGGACUGAGACACGGCCCAGACUCCUACGGGAGGCAGCAGUGGGGAAUAUUGCACAAUGGGCGAAAGCCUGAUGCAGCAACGCCGCGUGAGGGACGACGGCCUUCGGGUUGUAAACCUCUUUUAGCAGGGAAGAAGCGAAAGUGACGGUACCUGCAGAAAAAGCGCCGGCUAACUACGUG
rnacentral:rRNA from 1 species